UCAGACGAUGCGUCAUGCAUAUCAAUAAGCGGAGGAAAAGAAACUAACAAGGAUUCCCUCAGUAACGGCGAGUGAAGCGGGAAGAGCUCAAAUUUGAAAUCUUGAAAGGUCACCUUUCACGAAUUGUAGUUUAAAGAAGUGUUUUCUGUUACGAUCGUAAUAUAAGUUCUUUGGAAUAGGACAUCACAGAGGGUGAGAAUCCCGUCUAUGAUUGCGAUUUGUAGCUUUGUGAUACACUUUCAAAGAGUCGGGUUGUUUGGGAAUGCAGCCCAAAACGGGAGGUAAAUUUCUUCUAAGGCUAAGUAUUGGCGAGAGACCGAUAGCGAACAAGUACCGUGAGGGAAAGAUGAAAAGACUUUGAAAAGAGAGUUAAAUAGUACGUGAAAUUGUCAAAAGGGAAGCGUUUAACACCAGUGUUGUUUUCUGAAAAUCAACCUCUGUUAGCUUUAUGCAUGUUUGUUUAGACCUAAUCAGCUAUCUUGCAUGUUCUAUUGUUUGCAGUGGUGCACUUUUCAGUUUACAGGUCAACAUCAGUUUUUUUUACCGUAAAAAAGUUAAAGAAAGGUAGCUCAUGGCUCCGGUCGUGAGUGUUAUAGUCUUUUUCCUAUGCGGUAGGAGAGACUGAGGUCUGCAGUGUAGGCUAUUUGGCUAGAUACUCAGGUGCUAUGUGAUACCAUUUCAUAAACAACCUGUUGAUUAUGUUUUGUCUAUUGCAUACUCGCUUGUACUAUCAUACCUACGCUUAGGAUGUUGACUGAUAUGUAGUCGUA
rnacentral:rRNA from 1 species